UACGAAGGGGGCGAGCGUUGUUCGGAUUUACUGGGCGUAAAGCGCGCGUAGGCGGUUCGUUAUGUCGGAUGUGAAAGCCCUUGGCUUAACCGAGGAAGUGCAUCCGAAACUGGCGAGCUAGAGUACGAAAGAGGAUCGCGGAAUUCCCGGUGUAGAGGUGAAAUUCGUAGAUAUCGGGAGGAACACCGGUGGCGAAGGCGGCGAUCUGGGUCGAUACUGACGCUGAGGUGCGAAAGCGUGGGGAGCAAACAGG
rnacentral:rRNA from 1 species